UACGGAGGGGGCUAGCGUUGUUCGGAAUUACUGGGCGUAAAGCGUACGUAGGCGGCUUUGUAAGUUAGAGGUGAAAGCCCGGGGCUCAACUCCGGAAUUGCCUUUAAGACUGCAUCGCUUGAAUCAUGGAGAGGUGAGUGGAAUUCCGAGUGUAGAGGUGAAAUUCGUAGAUAUUCGGAAGAACACCAGUGGCGAAGGCGACUCACUGGCCCGAUACUGACGCUGAGGCACGAAAGCGUGGGGAGCGAACAGG
rnacentral:rRNA from 1 species